UUUGAAUUCAAGGGUAUUGUAAACCCUAAACAUACUUUUCUCUUGGAACGACCAGAGGAGAAGGAGAGGAAAGGAGAGCAAAAAGUCCCACUUCCUUCAUCGUCUUCGAUUUGCGGAUGUUUGCAACUUUACUGUUGUUCCAGCGAGAGCGAGGUCGAGGUCGAGGAUAUCUGGGUGUUCGACUCUGAAAUCUCUAGAUUACGGUAGAACAUUUCAUGAUCAUCUUUUGAACUCUUGUUCUCAACUGGACAUUAUUUUUCAGAAUCAUAUCCACAACGUGUAUGGGAAAUGUGGGUCUCUAAAAGAUGCUCGGAAGGUGUUCUACGAAAUGCCCGAAAGAAAUAAGGUUUCAUGGACUUCAAUGAUUGCUGGCUAUUCUUAGAAUCAUGAAGAGGAGGCUGCGUUGAAAACAUAUUUAGAAAUGUGACGAUCAGGUUUUCUGCCAGAUCACUUCAUCUUUGGAAGCAUAUUAAGAGCAUGCUCGGGUCUUAUUGAUGUUGAGCUCAAGAGGCAAUUGCAUGCCCAUGCCUUGAAUUCAGAAUUUGGGUGUCAUCUAAUUGCAUAGAUUGCUCUAGUAGUAACGUACACAAAGCUUAAUCAGAUUGAUGAUGCAUUAAUUCA